rnacentral:rRNA from 1 species
GAUGAACGCUGGCGGCGUGCCUAAUACAUGCAAGUCGAGCGAACGGACGAGAAGCUUGCUUCUCUGAUGUUAGCGGCGGACGGGUGAGUAACACGUGGAUAACCUACCUAUAAGACUGGGAUAACUUCGGGAAACCGGAGCUAAUACCGGAUAAUAUUUUGAACCGCAUGGUUCAAAAGUGAAAGACGGUCUUGCUGUCACUUAUAGAUGGAUCCGCGCUGCAUUAGCUAGUUGGUAAGGUAACGGCUUACCAAGGCAACGAUGCAUAGCCGGCCUGAGAGGGUGAUAGGCAACACUGGAACUGAGACACGGUCCAGACUCCGACGGGAGGCAGCAGGAGGGAAACUUCCGCAAUGGGCGAAAGCCUGACGGAGCAACGCCGCGUGAGUGAUGAAGGUAUUCGGAUCGUAAAACUCUGUUAUUAGGGAAGAACAUAUGUGUAAGUAACUGUGCACAUCUUGACGGUACCUAAUCAGAAAGCCACGGCUAACUACGUG